UGAGAGUUUUAUUCUUGCUAAAUGAUCUUUUUAUUUUCAUGUUAUAUACUAUUUUGGUUUUCUAAAAGAUUUAAUUUGUAGUGAUAAAUAUUGUUGUUCAAGUUAUUUUGGAGACAGUGAAUUUUUUAUUUCUGGUUAAAUUCGUGCCAGCAGCCGCGGUUAUACGAUUGGAGAAAAAGAUUAUUAUUAGUUGGUAGUAUAUUUUUUUUUAUUUUAUUAUCUUUUUAUUUUUUAGGUGGAAUUUAUAUUUACUUUUAAUAUAUUUAUUUUUAUUCUAUGAAACUUAAAUAUUAAACAAGGAUUAGAUACCCUUUUAUAUUAAGUGUUAACUUUUCUACUUGGGUAGUAUUAGUUAUGUUCUUGAAACCCAAAGAAUUUGGCGGUAUUUUAUUCUUUCCAGAGGAACCUGUUCUAUAAUUGAUAUUCCACGAUUUUAUUUACUUAAAUUUGUAUUCAGUUUUUAUACCUCCGUCAUAAGAAUAUUUUUUUAGAAUAAAUUUUCUUAAUUAUUUAAUAUAAAAAUGUCAGGUCAAGGUUAAGCUAAUAUUUAAGGAGAAAUGGGUUACAAUAAAUUUAUUUAUAUGAAUUACUAUUUUUAUACUUGGUUUGAAGGUGGAUUUGGAAGUAAAUUAAUUUAUUUAAUUUUUUGAUUUUAGCUCUAAAAUAUGCACACAUCGCCCGUCGCUCUCAUAUUAAAAUGAGAUAAGUCGUAACAUAGUAGAUGUAUCGGAAGGUGUAUCUAGAUAGUAAAU
rnacentral:ncRNA from 1 species